rnacentral:rRNA from 1 species
CCUACGAGCGGCAGCAGUGAGGAAUAUUGGUCAAUGGGCGCGAGCCUGAACCAGCCACGUAGCGUGAAGGAUGACUGCCCUCCGGGUUGUAAACUUCUUUUAUAAAGGAAUAAAGUGAGGCACGUGUGCCUUUUUGUAUGUACUUUAUGAAUAAGGCACGGCUAACUCCGUGCCAGCAGCCGCGGUAAUACGGAGGAUCCGAGCGUUAUCCGGAUUUAUUGGGUUUAAAGGGAGCGUAGAUGGGUUGUUAAGUCAGGUGGGAAAGUUUGCGACUCAACCGUAAAAUUGCAAUUGAUACUGGCAGUCUUGAGUACAGGUGAGGUAGGCGGAAUUCGUGGUGUAGCGGUGAAAUGUUGAGAUAUCACGAAGAACUCCGAUGGCGAAGGCAGCUUACUAAACUGCCACUGACAUUGAUGCUCGAAAGUGUGGGGAUCAAACAGGAUUAGAUACCCGAGUAGUC